rnacentral:rRNA from 1 species
UACGUAGGGGGGCAAGCGUUGUCCGGAUUCAUUGGGCGUAAAGAGCGUGUAGGCGGUCAGGUAGGUCCGUUGUGAAAACUCGAGGCUCAACCUCGAGACGCCGAUGGAAACCAUCUGACUAGAGUCCGGAAGAGGAGAGUGGAAUUCCUGGUGUAGCGGUGAAAUGCGCAGAUAUCAGGAAGAACACCCGUGGCUAAGGCGGCUCUCUAGUACAGUACUGACGCUGAGACGCGAAAGCGUGGGGAGCGAACAGG